rnacentral:lncRNA from 1 species
UUCCAAAGUCGUUCACCUCCUUCCAAUUUGCCGUCAAAAAUACAUCGCAACAUUUGAUAAUUCGAUCCUCAUCGAACUUCUCCUCCUUCUCUCUCUACUGUCACUGAAAGGUUAGAAGACCUGUGGGUUAAUGACAACCAGAUAGAGUCAAUUAAAGGCGUUGCUGAGGCUGUUGUUGGUUCGAGAGAGAGAAGCUGGCUACUAUAUAUAUACAUAUAUAUAUAUAUAUAUAUCUCGAACACGAUCCAUGUGUAUGAUUAUCUUCCAGAUCUUUAAUAGUUCUAUUACUCAGUUCCUCCAAAAUACUUUAGUUGCCAGGUAA